rnacentral:rRNA from 1 species
UACGAAGGGUGCAAGCGUUAAUCGGAAUUACUGGGCGUAAAGCGUGCGUAGGCGGUUUGUUAAGUCUGUUGUGAAAUCCCCGGGCUCAACCUGGGAAUGGCAAUGGAUACUGGCAAGCUAGAGUGUGUCAGAGGAUGGUGGAAUUCCCGGUGUAGCGGUGAAAUGCGUAGAGAUCGGGAGGAACAUCAGUGGCGGAAGGCGGCCAUCUGGGACAACACUGACGCUGAGGCACGAAAGCGUGGGGAGCAAACAGG